ACUUUCAACAACGGAUCUCUUGGUUCUCGCAUCGAUGAAGAACGCAGCGAAAUGCGAUAAGUAAUAUGAAUUGCAGAUUUUCGUGAAUCAUCGARUCUUUGAACGCACAUUGCGCCCUUUGGUAUUCCAAAGGGCAUGCCUGUUUGAGCGUCAUUU
rnacentral:rRNA from 1 species